rnacentral:rRNA from 1 species
GAUGAACGCUGGCGGCGUGCUUAACACAUGCAAGUCGAACGAUGAAGCCCAGCUUGCUGGGUGGAUUAGUGGCGAACGGGUGAGUAACACGUGAGUAACCUGCCCUUAACUCUGGGAUAAGCCUGGGAAACUGGGUCUAAUACCGGAUAGGAGCGUCCACCGCAUGGUGGGUGUUGGAAAGAUUUAUCGGUUUUGGAUGGACUCGCGGCCUAUCAGCUUGUUGGUGAGGUAAUGGCUCACCAAGGCGACGACGGGUAGCCGGCCUGAGAGGGUGACCGGCCACACUGGGACUGAGACACGGCCCAGACUCCUACGGGAGGCAGCAGUGGGGAAUAUUGCACAAUGGGCGCAAGCCUGAUGCAGCGACGCCGCGUGAGGGAUGACGGCCUUCGGGUUAUAAACCUCUUUCAGUAGGGAAGAAGCGAAAGUGACGGUACCUGCAGAAGAAGCACCGGCUAACUACGUG